ensembl:lncRNA
GAUUCCUGCCAAUGUCAACAUCUAACACUGAGUCCCACAAUGCCAUUUUGGCUCUGAUUAAGACCCCUACUGGUUUUCAUGAAAGUUUUUGUCCAGAUGUGCAGGAACUAAUGUCUCCUGAUUUGUGGCUGCAUAUGUCUGUGGCCAAGUUUAGAUGUUCCUCCUUCUGUUCUGCUCUGGGGGGAGGGAAAGAACAUGAAGGGUUUUUUGGAGGGGUCGGGAUUCGGGGUGAGCUGAAGGUUAGUGUGUCCCUGUUUGCAUUUGCUUGUACGAAUGAACUGUGCAGACUUUGUGUGGGUGUAGGAAGGGGUGCAUAUGUGUUUGAAUGUGUGUCCCUGAAAAUGAAAUAAAUGAUCAUGUCUCCACAUGAAAAGUUUUCUUACCAAGUGCUUGGCCGCAGCGAGAAUUGGGGCGUUUGAAGCUGGACAAUGACUCUAUCCCCAGGCUCCAGAGCAGCUUUAGAAAACCCACAGCAGUCAUUUUAAACUAGAUUUCACUCUGACCUUUGCAGUUAUUUUUGAAUAUGUCAGUAUAUUGAAAGUACUUGCGAGUAUGUGUGUGAGUUUUUAGUUUGUUUUCUGGUGAACGUAUCGAGUUUAAAAUCUUGGGCUCAGGAGGUACAGCGGGCUGUCCAGUCAUCUCACGGUUGGUGUUUCAAUCCCAACCCUCUCCACUUGCAAAAGUUCCCUGGUGUUAGACACCAAACCCCAAGUCGCCCGCUAUCACAGCCGAGCACCUUGCACUGUAGCACUGCCGUCAUUGGAGUGUGUUUGAGAAAGGAUAGUUGAGAAACACAUUUUAAAGCACUUUGUAGAACCACUAAGAACUGCGCUGUGUAAGUGCAGACCAUUUACCAUUUAGCGUUUUCUCCAGGGUCUUCAGAUCGGCACCAGAGAGCUGGAGGAGAUGGGAGCUCAGUUCUGCGUGGCACUGCUGAGGCUGAAGAGGCUGACCGGGCUCCGGAACCACCAACACCUACUGGAUUUGGAGAGCGAUAUUAUUGGGACACAGUCCAAAGUGGUCAGCAGCCCAACUACCUAUGUGAUGGAGGAGGACGAGCCGUCCUUUCUGGAGGCUAUAGACUACAGCGCAGAAAGUGACAAUGAGGACGCGGAGCCCGAAAACGAGCACGGCAACAACGUCCACGAGAAUCCCGACCACCUUGAUCAACUGUCCGACUCGUACUAAUCGCAGGGAUCAGCGCUGCGGGGUUAAUCUCAUCUGUACCUGGCAGUUUGAGCUUACAAACAGCCGGUGCCUGGGCUUUUAGAUGAUCUAAAUUUAAAGAUUUCACAGGUGACAUAGCAACACUUCUCACAUUGACUGCUGGAUAAAUAGCAUAGAUUUAAACCUGACCCUGCUGUAAAUACAAAUCCAAAUGCUACAUAAGCACCACACAGGUGUGCGUCGACCUGAUAGAUUUACUCUUGUCUAUGCGGCUGACGUGCUGCUCCUAACGGUACUCCACCUGCCUUUCACUUCAGAUAGACUGAUAUAAGCUACAGUAAUACAAAAAAUAAAGCUUCUAAUGAAUGUUUUCACCUUUCACUACCAGAAUUUAAUCAUCAUGAACUGUAAGCCUUGACCUCAGACACCAUAUAGCCUCUGAGAUUCACAUAUAGCUGCACAGGGCUGCAACCAGCAGGCACUUUUGACAUUUAACUUGAACCCCGGUCCACUCGCUGCUCCUUUUUUAUCACUUCCAAACUCACGCUGAAGCUUUCUGCCAAGGUUGUAGUUGUAUAAUAGAGCCAGUGGCUUCUGUAGGCUUUGAAAGCCCUCUCAUCUGUGACGCUGUGUUUGAUAGAAACACUUCUGCAGGUGAUUUAGGGAAACUGGAUCUCCUCCACUGGCCAGCACCGAGAUCCAAUCUGCCUGCCUUCUUAUUUCCUCUUUCUAGCUUUCUUUAUUGUUGCCCUGCACUUUAACUUUGUAUUCAUUUAGUUUGUUCAGGCCUUCUUUGCUUGUCUCUUUCUUUUCUUUGAGAAGCCAAGGUAUCACUGUUGAAAUGGGAUGCACAGAUGAUCAAACAGCUGUCAUAUCUGAACAUCAUUUGAACAAGAACCAGCUCAGAUGUAACCAGACUUGAGCCGUGACCUUACUUCCUUCCCUCUUUGGCAACGUGACACGUGGGCCGAUCACCCAUGUGCUCUCUGCCUUGCUUUAUCCAAAACCGAAGCUAUUCAUAUCACACACAAGCAGAAUGUUCACGUCUUUAUAAAGACAAACCUUGUACAGUAUUUAAAACGUGGAUGUAAACACUGCAAACUAACAUCAGUGACACAUUUAGGUGGAAUGUAUAGCAUCCACAUGUCGGUGUUUUCAUUGUUUUUUAUGAACCGUGUUAGUAUAACAAAGUAGUGAUGAACAAGAAAGCAUGAGCUGCACAGAGAGCAGAAAACCCUUGCGCACUUUGGACAAACACAAAUCACACAGAACAAAGACAAAGUGAAUGCGAGUAGUGUGGAAACCUCAUCUUUAGUCACCUCGUUUGUUUGAGCCCAGCCCAAAGCUCGACGGUAACACUUCUCUUUUGUCUAUACUGGAAUGUUUUUCCCGUCGUUGUUCUUUCCUCUUGUGUGUAUAUUUUGUGGAGUUGUGUAGGACAGACCCAUGUGUAAAAACAGAUGGUGCCGAGUAUCAAAUUGUUUUUUUUCCUGCUCAUAGAGAUGUGUUUCUGUUGUACAGGUUGAUUUGUUUGUUUGUUUUUUGCUUGCUGUUUUUAAAUUAUUAAGUAUUUUUUGUGUGAUGCUUCCUGUACGUACAUUUUUCUGUGUGGGUGCAGACUGUGUGUGCACAUUUGCAGGAGUUUAAGUUAUUCCAUUAUUCUGCUCAGCUAAUGCUCUUAAAGUGUGUUUCUGCUUUCAAUUUGAUUAUCCACUCUAACUCGGCUUCACUCCCCCAAUAAUUUUUUCGCUCCUCUCUUUCCUUCUAAACCCAUUUCACUCCUCUGUUUUCUGUCCUUUGCUUCCUUUUAAGUUUUGUUUGGGACAUCUUAGAAACACAGCAUUAUUGUCGUGCGUGUGCAUGUGUGUGUGUGUUUGAGGGAUAUCCACGUGUAAUUUCAGUAUAAUAUGCGAUACGUGUCUGUCAUGUUUGUCUCUUGCAGCUUAUGUGCAAUGCUGGGCUGCGUUUGUUGGGAUAGUUAUUCAUUUUAAGUUGAUUGUACUGCAGAAAAUAAAAGCUAAGACUGAAUACAUGGGAAAUAAAAUGUGAAUAUGGUAAACUGCUGCAUUUUAUUUAUUUCAUAUUUAGUUUUUUGUUCCUGAACUGUACACUUUUCACUAUGAUACUGACGUGUGUUUUGUGAAACUUGAGUGAGCAAGAAAUUCACAUAAAAUCUGUCCUCAUGGAAACAUUUCUCUUUGAAUUUAAUAAAACAACUGUAAUUGAUCCUAAAGAUAUGAGAAGCAAAACACAUUAAAAGAGCUUCUUUUCUUUCUGUUUUUUUUUUUUUUUUUUUAAAGGAAAAAACGUUUUCAGGCUGUGUUGACUUUCAAGCUUGUAAACUCUGGUUUUGGUGUCAAUAAAUCACUGCACCCGUUUCCUGUUUUGCUAGCAAAAUAUAAAGAAAUGAGGGGUGUCAAGUCAUUUGCACGGUCCUGUAUCUGACAAAUGAUGUGGCUUGCAGUGUGGUUAACUGUCCCAGCAGAUAUUCCAAGAAGUCGA